rnacentral:lncRNA from 1 species
AGCUGAGGUGGUUGCUGGGAGAGGUGGUUGCUGGGAGAGCUGUUCCGGCGCUCACGUUCCAAUUCCAAAUUACAAAUUCCGAUCUAGAGCUCCCACGCUUGGGGGCUGUGGAGCGCUCGCCAGCCGCUCCCCGUUUGCUGCUGGGUCUUACGAAGUUCUCAUAUCCAUCAUACAGUUUCUUUGUCACACUGUCCGCGGCACGCCAGUCCCUAUGACAGAAAGCACCUGCGGUCUGUCUGGAGGCGGAGUUGGUGGCGGAGAGAAAAAGUUCUGGAGACACCUGGUUGGGAGCAGGCUAAGGAAACAAAUGGGGAGGAAUUAGCCACAAAUCCUCAAAUAGACAGCUACUCAAAGGCAUCUUCACGGACAAUUUCCAAGCAUUGGAUGCAGUGGUGCAUUCUUGCAUUGGGCAGUGAUUGUGUGCACACAUCUCUUUAAGGGAGAGUGGAAAUGGGGUGAGGAGGAAAAUGGGAGUAGGAUAGAGUGUAGCGUUGACAUUUAUUUUCUUUAAAGGAAGACCCGAGCAUACCUGAGAGCUCAGUGAAGAAAGUAGUUCUGGCGAAUCGGAUUAAUAUGGUAUGAUCAGCCUUUAGCAAGAUUCUAUCACUUUUCCCACUGAUGAUGUGAGACGGUGUCCGCGUGUGUAAGUGCACACACGUGUGUGUGUGUGUGUGUUGCAUCUUCUGAGUAUUUUUCAAGGAGAAGCUUUUUAGUGAUCUGAAAAAGUCAAUUCAGUUAGCCACUAGAGUUCAAUCAAAAACUUCGGAAGAGUGCAUCAUCUUAAAGUACAUAAGAGAGAAUCAUGACCUCCAGCUCAGAAUUCAAGAAUAGGCAGGUUUGUGAAAUAGUAAGCUCAGAAAGUUGAGGGCCAGUGAACUCCUAUUUCAAGUUCUUGCGGGUGUUUGUACUUUUUUCCCAGCACCACUGAAACUUGACCUUCGGCCGGCGCGGUGGCUCACGCCUGUAAUCCCAGCACUUUGGGAGGCCGAGAUGGGCGGAUCACGAGGUCAGAAGAUCGAGACCAUCCUGGCUAACACGGUGAAACCCCGUCUCUACUAAAAAUACAAAAAAAUUAGCCGAGCGUGGUGGCGGGCUCCUGUAGUCCCAGCUACUUGGGAGGCUGAGGCAGGAGAAUGGCGUGAACCCGGGAGGCGGAGCUUGCGGUAAGCCGAGAUCGCGCCACUGCACUCCAGCCUGGGCGACUGAGCACGACUCCGUCUCAAAAAAAAAAAAAAAAAAACAAAAAAAAAACUUGACCUUCAUUAUAUCUCACUGCCCUCAUCCCAAACAUUUCCUCUCCCAGUUUUCCAGGAAACGGCAUCGCUGCCCAUCUCUUUUCAGGCCCCAACCCUGGAGAAGAACCUAAAUUUCUCAUUUCCUCACUACCUACCUCCAGUCCUUCAGCAGGUCCCGUUGGUUGGGCUGCUAAACUAUGGGCUAAAUCCUUUCAGUACUUUCCAUGCCCACAGCUACCACUCUGGUCCAAGCCAAAUUCUUAGUUCCCCUGGACUUCUUACUGCAGUAGCCUCUCAGCUUCCACUCUUGGCAAAAUCAAUUUUAUAAAACCUUGAAAUCCCUUAAUACCACUCGUCUGCUUAAACCUCGGCAUCCCACAUUUACCACUAUCAGGAAGGAUCACGUUUGUUUGUUUGCUGUCUCAUUCCCCCAUUUAUAUGUGAAUUCCACGGGUAAGGGCCUGCUCCUACAUCCCACACCUCUACAUCCACAGAGCCUAGAGACCGCAGGCGCGGGGAAAGCACUCCACGACCAUCACUGGCCAGGCCACAAGAGUGCUGGAUCUAAAUUUGGAACCGGACUUUCAGAGCUGAAAUAAACCUGAGGUUUUCCAGGGGCUUUUAACCUCCUUUUACAGCCAAGGAUGCGCCUAAGAAAGGGGAGAGGCUUCCGUGACUUCCUGCAGUAACGCAGCCACUAGAGAUUGAGACUACAACGACUUGGGAGUCUAAAAGUCUGCAACCUUUUCCACUCCAGAGCUCAAUGUUUCCUCAAUCCCCCGGGAUCGGCAUCAGCAAAAACCCGGAGAAGCGGAGCCUUUCUCAAAGAAAAUGACCUCCAGACUCAUGCUACCAUCUCGACCGGUGCAAGUAUCACGCAUGCGCAGGGCCGGCCGCCCGGCCGCACCUCGCCAACUCCUACUCGGACACGUCAUCUAGUGCGUUUUGUUCAAUUCUUUGUUCAAAACCCCAAGAAUCUGGACAACUUGCACUCAAGACCCUCUACGGGUUUGGCGAGCCAGUCUUUCAGUGGCUGUUUUCUAGUAGCUCCUUGGCAAUUGAGGGGAACUGGCUGGGACCACUCUCCAGUGCUGUCUGAAGGCCAAGGAGUGAACAGGGAUGGCUGCCCUGCCUUGAAGAGGGAAGGACUCUUUUCUAUCCUUUCCAGCUAUAGUCCCUGAUCCCUACAUGUGAUGCGGUUGGCAGCGGAAGCUCAUCCUGGGCGAACUCACACACUUUUCAGGAGACUUAAACCUUUUCUUAUGCUAAGUUCUUCCCUUCCCCUACUCAUCUGGCUAAAGGACAGACUAUGCAAAAAAGGUUAUACAAGUCAGAGGGUCUGAGCAUGUCGGAGGUGGUCUGUGUGGGGCAUGGGGUGGGGGGAAAAUUCAUGAAAGGCAAUUUAUUGCCUAAAUUUAAAGGGUUAAAGGGUUGCUUUAAGUGGGAUAGAAAAACCUUAAGGAAAGUUCAUAGUAGGUCCUCAGUGGUGGAGUGUUGUGGGAAGUCAGGGACCCUGAAUGAAGGGACUGGCUGAAGCCAUGGCAGAAGAACAUAAACUGUGAAGAUUUCAUGGACAUUUAUUAGUUCCCCAAAUUAACACUUUUAUAAUUUCUUACGCCUGUCUUUACUGCAAUCUCUGAACAUAAAUUGUGAAGAUUUUAUGGACAUUUAUCACUUCCCCAAUCAAUACUCUUGUGAUUUCCUAUGCCUGUCUUUACUUUAAUCUCUUAAUCCCGUCAUCUUCGUAAGCUGAGGAGGAUGUAAGUCGCCUCAGGACCCUGUGAUGAUUGUGUUAACUGCACAAAUUGUUUGUAGAGCAUGUGUGUUUGAACAGUAUCAAAUCUGGGCACCUUAAGAACAGGAUAACAGCAACGUUCAAGGAACAAGGGAGAUAAUCUUAACGUCUGGCUGCCUAUGGGCCGGGCAGAACAGAGCCAUAUUUCUCUUCUUUCUAAAGCAAAUAGGAGAAAUAUCGCUGAAUUCUUUUUCUCAGCAAGGAACAGCCCUGAGACAGAGAAUGUGUGCCUAGGGGUAGUCCUCCAAAAUGGCCACUCUGGGGACGGCUGUCUUUUAUGGUCGUAGAUAAGGGAAGAAAUAAGCCCCGGACUCCCAUAGUGCUCCCAGGCUUAUUAGGACGAGGAAAUUCCCACCUAAUAAAUUUUGGUCAGACUGGUUGUCUGCUCUCAAACCCUGUCUCCUGAUAAGAUGUUAUCAAUGACAAUGCGUGCCCGAAACUUCACUCGCAAUUUUAAUUUCGCCCUGGUCAUGUGGUCCCGUGAUCUCACCCUGCCUCCAUUUGCCUUGUGAUAUUUUAUUACCUUGUGAAGCAUGUGAUCUCUGUGACCCACACCCUAUUCAUACACUCCCUCCCCUUUUGGAAAUCACUAAUAAAAACUUGCUGGUUUUACGGCUUAGGGGGCAUCACAGAACCUGCCGACAUAUGAUGUCUCCCCUGGACACCCAGCUUUAAAAUUUCUCUCUUUGUACUCUUUCCCUUUAUUUCUCAGACCAGCCAACACUUAGGGAAAAUAGAAAAGGACCCACGUGAAAUAUCAGGGGCUGAAUUUCCCCCGAUAGUGGAGGGAACCAUCCCAAAGCAGUGCCAGCCCCCAUCUAAGGUCAGAGACAUCUGACAGACUAAAUCAGGGCCCUAAAGUAGGGACGCCCCUGGGGACCCCAGUCUGGGUUCAGAAUUUUUUCAGGGGGAUGCCCUGGGUAAAGUUUGGGUCACCUAAUGGGCCCUCUACUUUUCAAAGUCCUCUUCUCUGUUCCAGACCACUAUGGGCAACUCUCUAUCUAUUCGACCUGAUUCCACUAUGGGCAAUUCUACACCUGUUCCACCGGAUUCCUCACUUGGCUACAUCAUCCACCAUUGGAAUCAAUUUGACCCUGACACUCUAAAGGGAAAAUGUAUAAUUUUUUUCUGUAAUACUGUUUGGCCCCAUUAUGAGCUGCCCAGCCCCCAGCAAUGGGCAGUCAGUGGUAGCCUUAAUUAUGACACCAUCCUGCAAUUAGACCUACUUUGCAAGAGGCUGGGAAGAUGGUCAGAAGUCCCAUAUGUACAGGCUUUUAUCAAAAUAUCAAAAACCUAACAAUCUGUGAAACUCCCAGAACCCACCCCCCAAAGGAAAGUACUAAGGCAGAACUAGAUAUUAUAGAUGACCCUCUUUUACAAGGGCUAGCUGUCUCUCAGGGUGAACAGCAACCAUCCCCAUAAAGCCCCUUGCCAAGUGCUCCUGAGGCUAAAACCCAGGAGCAAACACCAGGGACCCUACUAAAUCCCCCUCACACUUGGAGAGGAAUGCCAUAUUCAAUUCUCUCUCCAGCCCUGCUACCUCUUAGGGAAGUAGCAGGAACCAAGGGGCCAGUCCUAGUGCAGGCCCCCUUCUCUAUAAUUUAUACAUACAAUAUAAGGAAAAGCUAGGAAACUAUUCUGAGAAUCCUAAGAAACUUGCAGAUGGGUUCCAGCGUUUGACCUUAGCCUCUGAUCUAUCAUGGAGAGAUGUUCAAUUCAUUCUAGCAACCUGUUACACACCCUCAGAAAAGGAAUGAAUCUCUGAGGCCGCCCACCUGCAAGCAAUGAAUUAUUUGCCCAAAACUCUCAGGGCAAUCAUCCCGGCCCAGACACAGUUCCCACUAUUGAUCAUAAUUGGGACUAUAACACUCCUGAGGAAAUGAACAACCGGGCUAAAUUUCUUGAGGCUCUCCUUGGAGGAAUGAGAAAGGGAAUAACUAAAGGCAGUAAAUUAUGAUAAAGUAAGGGAGGUUACACAAGGCAAGGAGGAAAAUCCAGCCAUGUUUUAUGGCAGGCUGGAGGGAGACUUUAAAAAAUAUACUAAUCUGGACCCUUCCUCUCCCGAAGGCAAAAUAUUAAUAGCACAGCAUUUCAUUAGCCAAUCUGCCCCAGACAUUAGAGAUAAGCUCCAAAAGCUACAGAUGGGGCCACAAACUAAUCAAAAUCAGCUUACUUAUAUCACAUUUAUGGUGUAUAACAAUCGUGACCUGAAGGAAGGAAAAAGGGAACAGAGUAAACAAAAUGGCAAGCCAAAAGUAUGGCAGCCAUCAUUGACGAUGCCCUGAAUGUACAAAGAGUGUCUAAGGGAAACCCGAAGGGCCAUAAAGAUAAUGCCAGCAAAGGCUCUUGCUUCAAAUGCAAGAAAAGAAGACAUUGGGCAAAGGAUUGUGCUAAGUCCCCGCCAGGCCCCUGCCGUCAAUGCAAGGGCACCAGUCAUGACCCCUGGCACUGGAGAAUUGACUGCCCAUGUUCCCACUGAGGGGCUCAGUCAGUCAAAACUCUAGCAGUGCAAAAGGAGGAAUUAGAUGAAGACUGAAGGGGCCUGAGGUCUUCCUCACUGCCCCUGUUCAGGAACAUUGUAAUUACUACUGAGGAGCCCCAGGUAACUCUGGACGUCAUGGGCACCCAAAUUCAGUUUCUUUUUGAUGCAGGAGCAAAUUACUCUGUUCUUACUGCUUAUGCAGUAAGGCGUUCCUCCCAGUCCACAAGUGUUAUGGGAAUAGAAUGGAAGCCACAAACGAGUUUUUAUUUUAUUUUAUUUUAUUUUAUUUUACUUUAAGUUCUGGGAUACAUAUGCAGAAUGUGCAGGUUUGUUACAUAGGUAUACAUGUGCCAUGGUGGUUUGCUGCACCUAUCGACCCAUCAUCUAGGUUUUAAGUCCCACAUGGAUUAGGUAUUUGUCCUAAUGCUCUUCCUCCCCUUGCCCCCAACCCCCCAACAGGCCUUGGUGUGUGAUGUUCCCCUCCCUGUGUCCAUGUGUUCUCAUUGUUCACCUCCCACUUAUUAGUGAGAACAUGCGGUGUUUGGUUUUCUGUUCCUGUGUUAGUUUGCUGAGAAUGAUGGUUUCCAGCUUCAUCCAUGUUCCUGCAAAGGACAUGAACUCAUUCUUUUUUAUGGUUGCGUAGUAUUCCAUGGUGUAUAUGUGCCAUAUUUUCUUUAUCCCGUCUAUCACUGAUGGGCAUUUGGGUUGGUUCCAAGUCUUUGCCAUGGUAAAUAGUGUUGCAGUAAACAUACAUGUGCAUGUAUCUUUAUAAUAGAAUGAUUUAUAAUCCUUUGGGUAUAUAUCCAGUAAUGGGAUUGCUGGGUCAAAUGGUAUUUCUGGUUCUAGAUCCCUGAGGAAUCACCACACUGUCUUCCACAAUGGUUGAACUAAUUUACACUCCCACCAACAGUGUAAAAAUGUUCCUACUUCUCCACAGCCUCACCAGCCUGUUUCCUGACUUUUUAAUGAUCACCAUUCUAACUGGUGUGAGAUGGUAUCUCACUGUGAUUUUGAUUUGCAUUUCUCUAACAACAAGUGAUGAGCAUUUUUUCAUAUGUUUGUUGGCUGCAUAAAUGUCUUCUUUUGAGAAGUGUCUGUUCAUAUCCUUUGCCUACUUUUUGAUGGGGUUGACAAACAAGAUUCAUUACUCCUCCUUUGAUUUGUCAAUUUGAGAAACAACUCUUCCAACAGGAUUUCCUAGUAGUACCAAGCUGCCCAAUCCCCCUGUUGGGAAGAGAUAUUAUGGUUAAAAUGGAGGCACUACUACAAUUUAAGCAUCACCCAUUGAAAUUGCUGAUAGUCAAAAAUACAGUGUUCCAGACCACAUUAAUAAAUAGGUUAACCCGCUGGCAUUGGUAUACUGGAAAACCAGGGAAGGCUAAAACAGCAGUGCCAGUCAAAAUACAUUUUAAAGACCUCAGCUAGUUUCCCAAUUGAAAAUAAUAUCCAAUUAAGCAGGAAGCAAGAAAAGGCCUAGCACCCAUAAUUGAGGUAUUACUUAUUACAUGGGCUCUUAAAAUCCUGUAAUUCCCCUUGCAAUACCUGUUCUAAAGCCUUUGGGGGAAUACCAGUUAGUAUAGGACUGGAGAAUACCGGUUAGUAUAGGACCUGAGAAUAAUUAAUGAGGCUGUUAUCCCCGUCCACCCACUGGUGGCAGAUCCAUAUACCCUUAUGGCUCAGGUACAAGGGGAUGCAAAAUGGUUCUCAGUCCUGGACCUAAAAGAUGCUUUCUUCUCCAUCCCUCUGGCCCCAGAGUCCCAAUACCUUUUUGCCUUUGAAUGGGAAAAUCAAUAUGAGGGAAAAACAGUAAUAUACCUGGACAGUGCACCCUUAGGGCAUUCAGGAUAGCCCCCAUUGGAUUGCCCGAGCCUUAGAGAGGGAUCUGAAGGAUCUGAAAGUGAAAAAUGGGAAUAUACUCCAGUAUGUGGAUGACUUUCUUGUGUGUAGCCCAAACCCAGGAGGUUUCUGACCAAACUACUAUAAAAACUUUGAAUUUCCUGGCAGACAGGGGAUACAAAGUGUCCGACAAGAAGGCACAGAUUAUCCUCCAAUGGGUGCAAUAUUUAGGGUAUGUCUUAACACCCAGAGCCUGACAAAUAUCCCCAGAACGAGAGCAAGCCAUAGGUGGUUUGCCCCCUGCCCCCUCCCCAACCCCCCCACCUGCCACACCUAGUAGCAGCUUUGUUCUUUUUUGGGAAUGGCCAGGUUUUGCAGAAUAUGGGUACCAAAUUUCAGACUCAUAGCAAAGCCCCUAUAUGAAGCAACAAAGGGGCCUGAAGACGAGCUAAAGGAAUGAACCCCAGAAUUGAGAAAAGCCUUUGCCAAGUUAAAACAGGCUCUCGCUCUUGGCAUCCCAGACCUACCUAAGCCCUUCUCUUUGUACGUAGCAGAGAAGAAGGGCAUAGCUGUGGGUGUACUAGCCCAGACAUUAGGAUCAGAACCCAGACUAACCACUGACUUUCCAAAGAAGUUGGAUGGAGUGGCCUCGAGGUGACCAAGUUGCCUGCGGCCAACAGCAGCCACUGCUAUGUUAGUGGAGGAAGCCACUGAAAUCGCUCUGAGCCAACCACUGGAAGUUCUCACCCCCUCAUCAGGUUAAGUCUGUCUUAGAGAUAAAGGGACACAUCUGGAUGACAGGGGAAAGAUGAACCAAAUACCAGGCCAUGUUCCUAGACAAUCCAGAUGUAACCCUUAAAACCUGCAACACUUUGAAUCCAGCUUCAGUGCUGCCCACAGGCCCAAUAACUGAUCAUUCCUGCAAGCAGGUCAUUGCACAUACACAAUGUUAGCCAGCCUGCUUUAAAAGACAAGCCUCUCCCAGAUUCUGAGGAUGAGUGGUUCACAGAUGGCAGUAGUUUUGUGUCAAAUGGGGUUUGACACAGCACUGAGCUGGAUAUGCAGUAGUAAUUAUCGAAGCCCAGCCACUGCUCCUUGGCACAUCAGCACAAAAGGCUGAAAUCAUUGCUCUUACUUGAGCAUUAAUGUUGGUACAAGGAAAAAAGCUUAACAUCUAUAUCGAUUCUAAAUAUGCAUUCCUUGUGGUUCAUGUUCAUGCUACAGUCUGGAAAGAAAAGGGAUUUCUAACUAGAAAACAGUCCUCUAUAAAGCCUGGGCCUGAAAUUCUUCAGCUAUUGGAAGCAAUACACUUGCCAAAGGCCGUAGCUCUAAUUAAUUGUUGGGGUAUCAAAGGGACUUAACCCCUAUAGCACAAGGGAACAGAAAGGCUGAUAAAGAACCAAAGCCGCAUCCCUCAGGGUGCCAUCCCAACAGACCCUAGCCCUACUUCCUUUCUAUGAUUUCCCAACAGAACCUGAGUACACAGUACAGAAAGAACAGUUAAUAGAGGAACAAGGGGGACACAAAAAAAGGAUCCUGGUGGCAUAUGGGGUCAAAAACAUAUCUCCCUCAGACAGCCCAGUGGAAAGUUAUAAAAGCCGUGCAUGCCUCUUUCCAUGUGGGGAGGGAUGCAACUCUGGCCAUUUAAACCAGCUCUUUACUGGGUCUAACUUAGCUUCAGUGGCUAAGCAGGUUUGCUAGGCCUGCUCCCUGUGUGCACUUAACAACCUAGGAAACAACAUGCCUCCUCUAAUAGAACCAGUGCAGAGGAGAGGAACUUAUCCAGGGGGAGACUGGCAAUUAGACUUCACCCAUAUGCCAGCUUGCAGAGGACAUGAGUUUUUGUUAGUACUAAUAGAUAUCUUUACUGGUUGGGUCGAAGUUUAUCCUACCAGAACAGAGAAGGUUAAUGAGGCUAUAAAGGUUCUCUUAAAAGAAAUAAUCCCCGGGUUUGGGUUACCUCAGAGCCUCCAAAUUGAUAAUGGCCCGUCCUUUAUCUCCCAGCUAACUCAAGGGGUUGCUAAGUCUCCUGGAAUCAAGUACUAUCUACAUUCAGCAUGAAGGCCUCGAUCCUUGGGGAAAGUAGAAAGGGCUAACCAAACUUUAAAACGAGUGUUAGCUAAGCUAUGUAAGGAAACAUCAGAAACUUGGGUCAGCUUACUGCCCAUAGCCCUCUUAAGGACCCAUAAUACCCCUACAGCAAAAAUUAAUAUAAACCCAUAUGAAAUAUUAUGUGGAAGGCCAUUCUUAACUAAUGAUUUAAUUACUGAUCCAGAAACAGUUGGUUUAGUAAAAUACCUAGUCAAUCUAGGACAGUUUCAACAGGCUUUACAAACGUUUGGAAUGCAAAGUCUCCCCACACUGGGAACAAUCAGCAACUUAAAAUCAGGUCAGGAAAUAAGGUACUUCUUAAAACAUGGAAAGAGGGAUCACCUGCUCAACAAUUACAACCCAAACGGAAGGGACUGUUUUCAGUGGCACUGGCCAUGCCUUCUGCAGUGAAAGUACUAGGAUUAGAUAGCUGGAUACAUCUUUCAAGGAUCAAGAGAGUGAUACCAGAAGCCCUGGACCAGGAACCCGAAGUUGCCAUCUGCCUCUACACCUGUGAACCUGUGGAAGACUUCAUGAAGUACCUGUUUAGAAGACAGUCAAAAGAAAAGUAAAUGCCUACCAAUUUUCCUUGGUGUCUUUGUUGCAUAGUUACUAUAGGCUGGAUAAUAGUGCCAUUUUUAAAAAUGUUUUAUUUUUGCAGUUUCAUUGCCUUCUUCCAAAUGGAUGGAAUCACUUCCUUUGUAGUAAUUAAGCAGAAUGUUUUAAUACAUUUCUAUAACAAACAUUCCUGACGGCAUAGGUAUCCACCCCCAAAGUUCCCAUUAAAUCUUUUAACCAAAUUCAUUUCCUGUUGCACAGAGACCAUCAAGCUUCAGAUGAUCAUGUGACAGGGUUUCCAGCCAGUUCCAGGUGAAGACACCACCCCUGGCCAUCAAGAAGUCACCCGGUCUCCACUAGACAGAGUAGGGUGAGAGUUCCGUGAUCUCCAACCGGUAGUGAUUAUGCCCCAAGUCAGCAUAAAGAAGUUACGGAAGAAAAACCAUCAGUCCCUCUGUCUCACAUAAAGACUUAUGGGGAUCACGUUUCUCAGAGGGGAGAUGAGGCAGGAGAAUAGGGUCUGGAGGCAGGGAACCUAAGGCCGUUUCACACUGACUUCUUAGAACUAAAUUGAAAGGAAAACCCUAAUUUUCCAUGCCUAAGUAACAAAAGGACCAGAGGCUACUCCCUUUGCAAACCCCCACCUUUUCUGUGUGGCAUAUGGGAAAUUGAAAGUACCUCUGAUUGAUUGUUUUCUGCAACCAAUCAGAUGUUUGCAUUGGAGUGUAACUUUGUAAUUUCACUUCAGUCUCUGAUUGGUUGCUGCAGUCUGGAAAUUCUGCAGGCCAAGUCUUCGUUUGCAUAGAAGUGCAACUUUGUAACUUCAUCUUAGCCUCUGAUUGGUUGCUUUCUGCAACCAAUCAGAUGUUUGCAUAGGCGUGUGACCUUUGUAACUUCACUUCAGCUUCUGAUUGGUUGCUUUCCACAACCAAUCAGACUGAUUGUGGGCCACCACUUCCUUUACGUGAGGUGAACACCAAGUGGCCAAUGGAAAACCUCAAGAGGGUAUUUGGACCUGAGAAGAUUCUGUAUCUGGGGCCCUUGAGCUGCUGCUCUGCCCACUCUCACAUGGUGGAGUGUAAUUUCACUUUGAAUAAAUCUCUGCUUUUGUUGCUUCAUUCUUUCCUUGCUUUGCUGUGUAUUUUGUCCAAUUCUUUGUUCAAAACGCCAAGAACCUGGACAACUUGCAGUCAAGACCCUCUACCAGUAACACUAGUUGUAUCCCUGUAAAUGAAUGGGCUUUGAAGAUUUUCUAGAAGAAAAAGAUCACCUCAUUGUCCUUCAUUUUUUGACAUAAAACUGUGAUAGCCCAAUAGAUAAAAUGUGAGUUAUCGAUCACCCCUGGAAAGGAUUAGGAUAUGCCACUCCAAAAUAUGCCACGUUUAUUUUGCACUGAAGGCAAUUGAGAAACAGUAGACACAGGAAGAGCUCUCUGCUUUUCCCCUUUUUACCUAAAAGCAGAGAAUAAAUUUCCUUUUGGAAAGAUGACAUACAUUUUCCUUUAUAAAGGUGUUCCCUUCUCCUCUACCAGGAAGAUCUGAGAUGGCACCAAAAUGAAUCUGCCUAACAAACCUUACUGCACAAUUCUUAGCUACCAUACAUUUCAUAGUCACCUUCCCAUAAUUUACUGCCCUUAGGAGCCCAAGUCCCUUUCCUUUGACUAUCACCUCUCCACAAUUUAUUGCCCUUUGUUAAAAUGAUAUAUAAGCUCCUUCAUUUAACUACAUCUUUGGGUUUUCACUUCUUAUCUUUGAUGCUACGAUGCAUGUAAAAAUAUUAAUAAAAUUUGUGUGCUUUUUCUCCUGUUAAUUGUAUGUCUUUUAUCAACUUAAAUUACAGGCCCCAAGUACAUAAUUAAGAGAGUAAAAGGCUGGGCACGGUGGCUGAUGCCUGUAGUCCCAGCACUUUGGGAGGCCAAGGCAGGCAGAUCACAAGGUCAGGAGAUCGAGACCAUCCUGGCUAACAUGGUGAAACCCCGUCUCUACUAAAAAAUAAAAAAAAAUUUAGCCAGGCGUGGUGGCGGGCGCCGGUAGUCUCAGCUACUCGGGAGGCUGAGGCAGGAGAAUGGCGUGAACUCGGGAGGCAGAGCUUGCAGUGAGCGGAGAUCUUGCCACUGCACUCCAGCCUGGGCAACAGAGCAAGGCUCCAUCUCAAAAAAAAAAAAAAAAAAGAGAGAGAGAGAGUAAAAGUUUUUCCUCUCCUACACCUCCUUCCCUGUUAGUCUAAAUACUAUAGCUUGGACAUAAAACUUAUCCUGAACAGUAGGCUUAUAAAUGCAACUAGCGGCCGGAUACAGUGGCUCACACCUGUAAUCCUAGCACUUUGGGAGGCCGAGGCGGGUGGAUCACCUGAGGUCAGGAGUUCAAGACCAGCCUGGCCAACAUGGAGAAACCCUGUCUCUACUAAAAAUACAAAAAUUAGCUGGGCAUGGUGGCACACAUGUGUAAUCCCAGCUACUCAGGAGGCUGAGACUGGAGAAUUGCUUGAACCCAGGAGGCAGAGGUUGCAGUAAGCCAAGAUCACUCCACUGCACUUCAGCCCGGGCAUCAGAGCAAGACUCCAACUCAAAAAUAAAUAAAAUAAAAUAAUUAAAUAAAUGCAACUCAUGGUAGAUUGGAGCCGAGGUAUGAAAAACGUUAAGCUUUAGGAUAAAUAAUGGUUCUCAGGACAUAACUUAGCUAACAUACAAGCUAUUUAUAAGCUAACAUAGAAGUUGCAACCAGAAGGGGGAUUCUUUUGGCCAGCAGAACCUGGAAAAAUGAAAGCCACAGAGGCAAAUACUAAAGUAUCACUCAGGAAAGACAAGAGUGUAGCUCUGUGACAUAGAUGGAUAUAUUCUAAUCAUAAAACUAAUUUUACUUCUUCCAAAUUUAUGCCCACAAACCAACUUUCUGCUUUUUUCUUGUCUCGUAUGCAUUUUUUAACUUAAUAAUCUUUAAACACUUUUAUAAGAGUUUUUAUAUUCUGCAUAGAAACACUUUGUUAGCUAUAUGAAUUGCAAAUAUUGCUUUAUCAAAAGAUUCCUAGAGUCAUGAAAGAAAGCAAACAAAGUGCUAAUAUUGUGGUUCAUUGCUUCACUUAUAAGAUAAAAUGCAUACCAUUUAUCAAUCUAUAAACAAUGUCUCAAUUUGAGGUUGAAUGUUAGAGUUUACCCGGUAAUCUAGUAUUUCUCUAGAAAUGUCAAAAAAAAGGGCAAAAUUAUAUAGUACAGAGGAGUGAGUGGCUGGAGGUUGUCUAGACAAGGUACCCACUGGAUGCCAUUAUCUUGGUGAAAAAGAGAAAGAGAAAAGCAGUCACUGACAUGAGGAGUUGGCCUGGUUCUUACAGAUAGGACUUGGCAUUCUCCUGUCAAAUAUAAGCAAUUUCACAGAACAUGAACAUUAGACAACGCCGUGUUGUGAUGUUGAUGUAGCAAGACGAAAACACUGUAACCCUCUGUAAUCAUGUCUCAACAAUCCACUACAACCCGAAUGUGGUCCAAACCACAAAAUAACCAAACAUCCUCUGUCUUGCCUAAGAGUAGUGACUGCUGCCUCUUUAGCAAUCACAACUUAAGCCUCAGACUAGUCUGCCCUCCUUCUAGAUAAGAGUUAUUAGAUAUCUAAUUUUAAGAAUUACCCCCUGCUUCCUGACAGCAUUUGAUCCAGAGCAAAGCUCCACCUCUUUAAAACGCUCCCCAAACCACAAAACACAAGCUCAAUUCUUAUAAAUUUCUUUCCAAUCCCCUCUUACUGAGAUGUCCCAUCGUUCCUCAUAGUGUGCGUUCUCCCUUGCUGCAACAAGGAAAUAAACCCAACUAUAGUUGUGUUCCUGGUGGUCUUUAGCUGAAGAGCAUUGACACUGCAGAAUCCAGGAGAAUCCAGGACAAUUCAAGAGCUGGAGACAGCUUACUUGUCAGGACACUAAAAAUAGACCUAUCUCUCAAGGGUGAAUUUGUAUUAGCCACAGACACAGAAACUGAUGGAUAAGUAACAUUACUAAUUUGUUAAUUAAUAAAAAUGAAAUAAAGCCCUGGAAGAGUCAGAAAAGACAAAUGUAUAGAGUGAGAAAGUAGAUGAAUGGUUUCCUGAAGGUGGGUGUGGAAAGGGGAAUUAAAUGUUAAAGGGCAUGAGUGGUCUUAUUGGGGU